UUUCCGUAGGUGAACCUGCGGAAGGAUCAUUAAAGAGUUAGGGUCCUCAAACGGCCCGACCUCCCAACCCUUUGCUUAUUAUACCUUUGUGUUGCCUCGGCGGGCCCGUCUCUCGACCGCCGGGGGGCCGUAAAACGCCCUCUGGCCAGUUGCCCGCCCGUGGCCCAUACCUACAAACUCUGAAUUAAGCGUGUCUUUGUCUGAGUAUGAUAUCUAAAUCAAAAAUAAAACUUUCAACAACGGAUCUCUUGGUUCUG
rnacentral:misc_RNA from 1 species